UCUAGCAUAACCAGUAUUAGAGGCACUGCCUGCCCAGUGACAUCUGUUCAACGGCCGCGGUAUUCUGACCGUGCAAAGGUAGCAUAAUCACUUGUUCCUUAAUUAGGGACUUGUAUGAAUGGCUUAACGAGGGUUCAACUGUCUCUUACUUCCAAUCAGUGAAAUUGACCUUCCCGUGAAGAGGCGGGAAUAAAGCAAUAAGACGAGAAGACCCUAUGGAGCUUAAAUUCAUUAUUUCAAGCACAAUAAUAUUUACCAACUACCACGGUUAAUCCUAAAAUACGCUAGUGAUUUAAUAAUUUUGGUUGGGGUGACCUCGGAGAACAAACAAACCUCCGAAUGAUAAUAAUCAAGACUUACCCGUCUAAAUCUACAAAUCAUCAAUUGACCCAAACUAUUUGAUCAACGGAACAAGUUACCCUAGGGAUAACAGCGCAAUCCUACUCAAGAGUUCAUAUCGACAGUUAGGGUUUACGACCUCGAUGUUGGAUCAGGACAUCCAAAUGGUGCAGCAGCUAUUAAUGGUUCGUUUGUUCAACGAUUAAAGUC
rnacentral:rRNA from 1 species